UACGUAGGUGGCAAGCGUUGUCCGGAUUUACUGGGCGUAAAGGAUGCGUAGGUGGAAACUUUAAGUGGGAUGUGAAAUACCCGGGCUUAACCUGGGUGCUGCAUUCCAAACUGGGUUUCUAGAGUGCAGGAGAGGUAAGUGGAAUUCCUAGUGUAGCGGUGAAAUGCGUAGAGAUUAGGAAGAACACCAGUGGCGAAGGCGACUUACUGGACUGUAACUGACACUGAGGCAUGAAAGCGUGGGGAGCAAACAGGG
rnacentral:rRNA from 1 species